rnacentral:rRNA from 1 species
AACGCGAAGAACCUUACCAGGAUUCGACAUGCCCCCUAUGGAUUGCUGAAAGGCGAUCCUUCACUUCGGGUGGGGGGAGCACAGGUGCUGCAUGGCUGUCGUCAGCUCGUGUCGUGAGAUGUUGGGUUAAGUCCCGCAACGAGCGCAACCCUCGUCCUCUGUUGCUAACAGGUAAUGCUGAGAACUCUGAGGAAACUGCCGGUGAUAAGCCGGAGGAAGGUGGGGAUGACGUCAAGUCCUCAUGGCCCUUACAUCCUGGGCUACACACGUGUUACAAUGGCAGUGACAAUGAGUCGCGACCCCGCAAGGGAUAGCUAAUCUCAAAAAGCUGCCUCAGUUUGGAUUGUACUCUGCAACUCGAGUACAUGAAAUUGGAAUCGCUAGUAAUCGCGGAUCAGCACGCCGCGGUGAAUACGUUCCCGGGCCUUGUACACACCGGCUAC